CCCAAGGAUCCCAGAUAACACUAACCACGUGUAUGCUGUGUUUUGCGGGUGGUUUUGGAAGAGAGCUAGCUACACUUGAAUAACUGUAAUUUCAAGUGCAUCAACUACUUUAAUGCUUAGUUUACCUUUGCCAUAACGAUAGUCCAACAGUAAAUGUGAAUUAUUCAGAAGAUACUUCGGUCACUUCAUUACUAUUCAGUGUCAGUUGACGUUUGCAUAGGCUGCUACUUUUGACUACAGUGAAUGGCAAAUAGCCCUCGGGUAUUGACAAGGUACACGUCAAGUCGACAAAAAUGGGUGAAUGGUUAUCAUAAUGCUGUACAUUUUAGAAUUUGAACGGUUUAAAUGCUACAAUCAGUGCACGCCACCGCAACAAACGCUCUGUACUGAGCUGGUGUCGCAUUUCUCCAGUGCAUGUCCAGAUAAAAGGUCAAACUGAUUACGAAUGUUUAGCCCUGCUUCUCAGAAAACAAGGAGUUUCAAGUUGUAAUGUCACGUGCACAAUUGUCUUUCUUGCAAGCGCUAAAUCCAACAAUUAAAUAAUCAAUCAUUUCAUACUAAAAAUAACAAGGUCGAAAUUAAACACACGAGAAAUAAGAAGAACACGAGAAAUGUCACUCCAAUCCUGGGAAUUUCCCAAUCCCCCCGGCCAGGUGAUAGACGUGGUUGGUGGUGGACAUGAAGUACAUGGAUACAGCAGCUGGUCUAUCGUGGCUGAACUUCCGUCCUCCAGGGAGAGAGACUAUAGCGCAUAUAAAGACACGGAUCGAAGAGUUUCUGGAGCACCUGUUCCAGCGCAUGGUGGCUGACCACUGCGGACCAGAACAGAAGGAGACAGGGAUUCCUCAGACAGAGGGGGCUCUCGCAGGCAAGCCUGCGAGAGACAUCCCUGCCAUGCGCUGGUGGUCAGCCAUGGGGCCCUCAUACAGUUGAAGUUGGAAGUUUACAUACACCUUAGCCAAAUACAUUUAAACUCAGUUGUUUCACAAUUCCUGACAUUUAAUCAGAGUAAAAACACUCUGUUUUAGGUCAGUUAGGA